UGAAACACUGGUUCUCAUUUGAUCACCAAAUUUAUGCAACGUUGAGCCUGGUCAGUACAUAGAUGGGUGACCGCUUGGGAAUACCAGGUGCUAUA